UGGAGCAGAAGACUCUCACCAUGAAGAUCACUCUCAAACUAUUACUGCUACUACUCCACAUCAUCAUACUUAUAUGCUGUUCAUCUGAGUGGAGCAGUAGAGGCUCAUCAACACUCACCAUGAAGAUCACUCUCUCCCUAUUCCUGCUACUACUCCACAUCAUCACAGGUGUGAAAUGUGAGAGUCUUGAAUCAUUACAAACUGUAGUUCAGAAAAAACCUGGAGAAACUCUGAGUCUCUCCUGCAGAGGAUCUGGAUUUACUUUUGGAAGCUACAACAUGCACUGGAUCAGGCAACAGGCUGGGAAACCACUGGUGUGGAUGGGAGCUAUGUGGUAUGAUGCCAGUGGAACCAGCUAUAGUAAAAGUUUUCAAGGGCGAAUAGAAAUCACCAGAGACAAUUCCAAGAGCAUGGUGUAUCUGAAACUGUCUGGACUGACAGCUGAGGACUCAGCUGUAUAUUACUGUGCACGUGAAGCACAAUGACAGAGUAUGAGGAUACACAAUACAAAAACAUGGGGCAGCUUUUAGAUAGUAAGAUUUGGAGAGUGUAGGUUUCAGCAGUUGGGGUCAUGAAAGAUCAACCCCAAAACUACACAGACAUAAACCAGCAUGUACAUGUCCAUGAGCCUCUUUUACAGCUACUUUACAGUAACUAAUUUGGUUUAACUAACAUAUUACAGACCACUGAGAUGCUUAUGUAGCUGUAUUACCUGAAAUGGUUGUGAAAGUACCUCAUUUUGUUGCAGCUCUUAAAUAGAUUUCUACUUCUGCCAUAUAAUCAGUAAAUCACCAAAGCCUGCCCUAAUACUAUAUAAAGAUAAGAUAAGUGCUUAGUUAAUUUUUACAUGAAUUAACAUAAUGUCAGGCAAAUAUCAACUUACACACUCACUAUAGAUCUCAUUGAUGCUUCAUUAAAACUAUAACAUUCUGAACUAAGACAGCCCAAAAUGUUUUCAAAAAUCAUUAUUAAAAAACAAUCUAGACUAUGUCAUGAUCAUUACUUGAUAAAUGAACAAUAUCAGGUAAUAGUGUCUAUUCUCCAUUACCAGUCUGUAACAGUGAAUAAGACUGCUAUGAUUUGUAGUCUGUGAUAUAAUUCAGUAUUUCUGUGGGGUUCAACCUUUUUAUUCUCCACUGACCUGCUCUGCAACACCAUAACUGACAUGUAUCUCACACUAUAUGACAUCUGUUAUGAACACCAGGAAUCACGCUCAACCCUGCACUGCCACGCCUACCUCUCCACACACAUGCUUCCGAUCUGGUUCACCGGAAUACUAGCACACACACACAUUGUUUCUCUCAUCACUGCUCCCUUAUUUAAACUCCCCUCCUUCAUACUCAUGUCGCGAAGUAUUGCCAACCUUAUGUUGCGUGCCAAACAGUUCAGUUACGGUUUUGUCUUCCUGGUUUUCGACUCCUGCCUGUGUUUCAGACCUUGUCUCCUGCCUGACCCCUGGACACCCCCCGGACUCUGCCCCGUGUUAUCGACCUCGAACCAACCUGACUAUGAAUAUCUGCCUGACCCCUCUGAUCUGUUUUAUUUCCCUAAUAAAACCUCUUGUGAUUGGAUCCUC